rnacentral:rRNA from 1 species
UACAGAGGGGGCAAGCGUUGUUCGGAAUUACUGGGCGUAAAGGGCGCGUAGGCGGCCAUCUAAGUCAGACGUGAAAUCCCCCGGCUUAACCUGGGAACUGCGUCUGAUACUGGACGGCUGGAGUUUGGGAGAGGGAUGUAGAAUUCCAGGUGUAGCGGUGAAAUGCGUAGAUAUCUGGAGGAAUACCGGUGGCGAAGGCGGCAUCCUGGACCAAUACUGACGCCGAGGCGCGAAAGCUAGGGGAGCAAACAGG